rnacentral:rRNA from 1 species
AUACGGAGGAUCCGAGCGUUAUCCGGAUUUAUUGGGUUUAAAGGGUGCGCAGGCGGGAGAUUAAGUCGGCGGUGAAAUUUUGCAGCUCAACUGUAAAAAUGCCUUCGAAACUGGUUUCCUUGAGUGUAGAUGAAGUAGGCGGAAUUUGUGGUGUAGCGGUGAAAUGCAUAGAUAUCACGAGGAACUCCGAUUGCGCAGGCAGCUUACUAAACUACUACUGACGCUCAGGCACGAAGGCGUGGGGAUCAAACAGGAUUAGAUACCCUGGUAGUCCACGCAGUAAACGAUGAUUACUAGCUGUUUGCGAUACAAUGUAAGCGGCUGAGCGAAAGCGUUAAGUAAUCCACCUGGGGAGUACGUUCGCAAGAAUGAAACUCAAAUGAAUUGACGGGG